rnacentral:rRNA from 1 species
UACGGAGGGUGCAAGCGUUAUCCGGAUUCACUGGGUUUAAAGGGUGCGUAGGUGGGCUAGUAAGUCCGUGGUGAAAUCUCCAAGCUUAACUUGGAAACUGCCGUGGAUACUAUUAGUCUUGAAUCUCGUGGAGGUAAGCGGAAUAUGUCAUGUAGCGGUGAAAUGCUUAGAUAUGACAUAGAACACAAAUAGCGAAGGCAGCUUGCUACACGAGUAUUGACACUGAGGCACGAAAGCGUGGGGAUCAAACAGG